rnacentral:rRNA from 1 species
GACGAACGCUGGCGGCGUGCCUAAUACAUGCAAGUAGGACGAAGUUGCGAAAGUGUGAGUAACGCGUAGUUAACUGCCGAUUAGAGAGGGAUAACUAUUGGAAACGAUAGCUAAUAACGCAUACAAGUAUAUGGACCUGCUUUGUAUUAGCUAGUAGGUAGGGUAAUGGCCUACCAAGGCAACGCUACAUCGCCGACCUGAGAGGGUGAUCGGCAACACUGGGACUGAGACACGGCCCAGACUCCUACGGGAGGCAGCAGUAGGGAAUCUUCGGCAAUGGGGGGAACCCUGACCGAGCAACGCCGCGUGAGUGAAGAAGGUUUUCGGAUCGUAAAGCUCUGUUGUUAAGGAAGCGGUACUUAACCAGAAAGGGACGGCUAACUACGUGCCAGCAGCCGCGGUAAUAC